rnacentral:tRNA from 1 species
GGCGACAUAGCUCAGGCGGUAAGAGCGAUUGUCCGGCAGUCAGAGGGUUGCCGGUUCAAACCCCGCCCUGGGCG